GAUGAACGCUGGCGGCGUGCCUAAUACAUGCAAGUCGAACGAAAAGACGAUGAGCUUGCUCCUCUGACGUUAGCGGCGGACGGGCGAGUAACACGUGGAAAACCUACCUAUAAGACUGGGAUAACUUCGGGAAACCGGAGCUAAUACCGGAUAAUAUAUUGAACCGCAUGGUUCAAUAGUGAAAGACGGUUUUGCUGUCACUUAUAGAUGGAUAUGGGCCGCAUGAGCUAGUUGGUAAGGUAACGGCUUACCAAGGCGACGAUGCGUAGCCGAACGGAGAGGGUGAUCGGCCACACUGGAACGGGGACACGGUCCAGACUACUACGGGAGGGCGCAGUAGGGAAUCUUCCGCAAUGGGCGAAAGCCUGGCGGAGCAACGCCGCGUGAGUGAUGAAGGUCUUCGGAGCGUAAAACUCUGUUAUUAGGGAUGAACAGAUGUGUAAGUAACUAUGCACGUCUUGACGGUACCUAAUCAGAAAGCCACGGCUAACUACGUG
rnacentral:rRNA from 1 species